GUGGGGAAUCUUGCGCAAUGGGCGAAAGCCUGACGCAGCCAUGCCGCGUGAAUGAUGAAGGUCUUAGGAUUGUAAAAUUCUUUCACCGGGGACGAUAAUGACGGUACCCGGAGAAGAAGCCCCGGCUAACUUCGUGCCAGCAGCCGCGGUAAUACGAAGGGGGCUAGCGUUGCUCGGAAUUACUGGGCGUAAAGGGCGCGUAGGCGGACAGUUUAGUCAGAGGUGAAAGCCCAGGGCACAACCUUGGAAUUGCCUUUGAUACUGGCUGUCUUGAGUACGGGAGAGGUGAGUGGAACUCCGAGUGUAGAGGUGAAAUUCGUAGAUAUUCGGAAGAACACCAGUGGCGAAGGCGACUCACUGGCCCGUUACUGACGCUGAGGCGCGAAAGCGUGGGGAGCAAACAGGAUUAGAUACCCUAGUAGUCC
rnacentral:rRNA from 1 species